rnacentral:rRNA from 1 species
UACGAAGGGUGCUAGCGUUGUUCGGAAUCACUGGGCGUAAAGGGUGCGUAGGCGGCUUGACAAGCCAGAGGUGAAAGCCUGGAGCUUAACUCCAGAACUGCCUUUGGAACUGUCAGGCUAGAGUGUCGGAGGGGAUAGCGGAAUUUCUAAUGUAGCGGUGAAAUGCGUAGAUAUUAGAAGGAACACCGGUGGCGAAGGCGGCUAUCUGGACGACAACUGACGCUGAGGCACGAAAGCGUGGGGAUCAAACAGG